rnacentral:miRNA from 1 species
UAUUUGUCUAUAAUGUCCU